AGUGAACGCUGGCGGUAGGCCUAACACAUGCAAGUCGAACGGCAGCACAGUAAGAGCUUGCUCUUACGGGUGGCGAGUGGCGGACGGGUGAGGAAUACAUCGGAAUCUACUUUUUCGUGGGGGAUAACGUAGGGAAACUUACGCUAAUACCGCAUACGACCUACGGGUGAAAGCAGGGGAUCUUCGGACCUUGCGCGAUUGAAUGAGCCGAUGUCGGAUUAGCUAGUUGGCGGGGUAAAGGCCCACCAAGGCGACGAUCCGUAGCUGGUCUGAGAGGAUGAUCAGCCACACUGGAACUGAGACACGGUCCAGACUCCUACGGGAGGCAGCAGUGGGGAAUAUUGGACAAUGGGCGCAAGCCUGAUCCAGCCAUACCGCGUGGGUGAAGAAGGCCUUCGGGUUGUAAAGCCCUUUUGUUGGGAAGGAAAAGCAGCAGGUUAAUACCCCGCUGUUCUGACGGUACCCAAAGAAUAAGCGCCGGCUAACUUCGUG
rnacentral:rRNA from 1 species